GACGAACGCUGGCGGCGUGCCUAAUACAUGCAAGUAGAACGCUGAAGGAGGAGCUUGCUUCUCUGGAUGAGUUGCGAACGGGUGAGUAACGCGUAGGUAACCUGCCUGGUAGCGGGGGAUAACUAUUGGAAACGAUAGCUAAUACCGCAUAAGAGUAGAUGUUGCAUGACAUUUGCUUAAAAGGUGCAAUUGCAUCACUACCAGAUGGACCUGCGUUGUAUUAGCUAGUUGGUGAGGUAACGGCUCACCAAGGCAACGAUACAUAGCCGACCUGAGAGGGUGAUCGGCCACACUGGGACUGAGACACGGCCCAGACUCCUACGGGAGGCAGCAGUAGGGAAUCUUCGGCAAUGGACGGAAGUCUGACCGAGCAACGCCGCGUGAGUGAAAGAAAGGUUUUUCGGGAUCGUAAAAGCUCUGUUGUAAAGAGAAAGAAACGAAGUGUGAAGAAG
rnacentral:rRNA from 1 species